AGUGGGUGGUACGUCCGGCUAUUAUCGUGGAGUCUCUACUUUUUAACUUUUUGUGUUGAAAAUAAAUUCGAAAAGGGGUUACUGGGUUUAUCUUUUCUGGAGAAAAUUCCCAAUUAUUCUCAAACUCAAAAACCAUACCAAACCCUAACCCUAGACAACGCCCAAUCAUGUCUAAGCAAGGUGGAAAGUUGAAGCCCUUGAAGCAACCUAAGAAGGAUAAGACUGAGUUGGAUGAGGAUGACAAGGCCGCUCUUCAAAAGAAGAAGGAAGAGGAGAAGGCUCUUAAAGAACUUAGAGCAAAGGCAUCUCAGAAGGGACAGUUCGGAGGCUCAGGACUGAAGAAGAGUGGAAAGAAGUGAGGAUGUUCCUGAAACAAAAUGCAAUGAACCUUGCAAUUAUAUGGUGUGAUAUUGUUAUUGUGAUAACUAUCGUAAUUUAAUGGUUGAUGUUAAAAUGCUAGUCCAACUCCUGAAGUUGCUAAUGGUUUUUCUUAUAUAAAACUAAUAAUUUGAAGGCGGAAUACAUUAGCUUGGUCUGCAUUUUUAUUCUCA